rnacentral:rRNA from 1 species
AGAGUUUGAUUCUGGCUCAGAACGAACGCUGGCAGCGUGGAUUAGGCAUGCAAGUCGAACGAGAACCAGUGGUUUCAAGUUUUCGGACGAGAAACCGCUGGGGACAGUGGCGGAAGGGUGAGUAACGCGUGGGCAAUCUGCCCUUAAGUUCGGGACAACGGCUGGAAACGGCCGCUAAUACCGGAUGUGGUACCCGUCGCCUGACGGGUGGACUAAAGAUGGGGACCCUUCGGGGCCUGUCGCUUGAGGAGGAGCCCGCGUCCCAUCAGCUUGUUGGUAGGGUAACGGCCUACCAAGGCUUACGGGUAGCUGGUCUGAGAGGAUGAUCAGCCACACUGGGACUGAGACACUGCCCAGACUCCUACGGGAGGCUGCAGUCGAGGAUCAUUGGCAAUGCGCGAAAGCGUGACCAUGCGACGCUGCGUGGAGGAUGACGGCCUUCGGGUUGUAAACUCCUGUCAUUCGGGAAAAACGAGCGGGCCGUUAAUAACGGUUCGCAGUGAUGGUACCGAAAGAGGAAGCCACGGCUAACUCUGUGCCAGCAGCCGCGGUAAUACAGAGGUGGCAAGCGUUGUUCGGAUUUACUGGGCGUAAAGCGUGCGUAGGCGGUUCCGUAUGUCGGAUGUGAAAGCCCAUGGCCCAACCAUGGAAGUGCAUUCGAAACUGCGGAACUAGAGUGCAGGAGGGGAGAGCGGAAUUCAUGGUGUAGCGGUGAAAUGCGUUGAUAUCAUGAAGAACACCGGUGGCGAAGGCGGCUCUCUGGAAUGUUACUGACGCCGAGGCACGAAAGCUGGGGGAGCAAACAGGAUUAGAUACCCUGGUAGUCCCAGCCGUAAACGGUGCGCACUUGGUGUUGGGGGUGUUGACCCCCUCAGUGCCGGAGCUAACGCGUUAAGUGCGCCGCCUGGGGAGUACGGCCGCAAGGCUAAAACUCAAAGAAAUUGACGGGGGCCCGCACAAGCGGAGGAGCAUGUGGCUUAAUUCGAUGCAACGCGAAGAACCUUACCAGGGCUUGACAUGGCGACCCUUCGGGGGUGGUAGCGAAAGUUACCUUUACGAUCACAGGUGCUGCAUGGCUGUCGUCAGUUCGUGCCGUGAGGUGUUGGGUUAAGUCCCGCAACGAACGCAACCCUUGUGGUUAGUUGCCACCGUCGGUGAUGAGCCGGCGAGCACUCUAGCCAGACUGCCCGUGCAAGCGGGAGGAAGGUGGGGAUGACGUCAAGUCAGUAUGGCCCUUACGCCCUGGGCUGCACACGUGCUACAAUGGUUGGUACAGAAGGAUGCAAUGCCGCGAGGUGGAGCAAAUCCUCAAAGCCAACCCCAGUUCGGAUUGGAGUCUGCAACUCGACUCCAUGAAGUUGGAUUUGCUAGUAAUGGCGCAUCAGCUACGGCGCCGUGAAUGCGUUCCCGGGCCUUGUACACACCGCCCGUCACAUCAUGAAAGCCGUCUGCACCCGAAGUCACUGAGCUAACCUUUUACGAGGAGGCAGGUGCCGAAGGUGUGGGUGGUGAUUGGGAUGAAGUCGGAACAAGGUA